ensembl:snRNA U6 U6 spliceosomal RNA
GUGCUCGUGUCAGCAGCACAUACACUAAAAUUGGAAUGACACAGAGAAGAUUAGCAUGGCCCCUGUGCCAGGAUGACAUGCAAAUUCAUGAAGCGCUUCAUAUAUAA